GACGAACGCUGGCGGCGUGCCUAACACAUGCAAGUCGAGCGGGGUUGAAGCGAGAGGUAACUCGAACUUCUACCUAGCGGCGGACGGGUGAGUAACGCGUGGGCAACCUGCCUCAAGGUCUGGGAUAACAGCCCGAAAGGGCUGCUAAUACCGGGUAUGCUUGUGGCCUCGCAUGGGGCUAUGAGCAAAGGGGAAACCCGCCUUGAGAUGGGCCCGCGUCCCAUCAGCUAGUUGGUGAGGUAACAGCUCACCAAGGCGACGACGGGUAGCCGGCCUGAGAGGGUGACCGGCCACACUGGGACUGAGACACGGCCCAGACUCCUACGGGGGCAGCAGUGGGGGAUCUUGCACAAUGGGCGAAAGCCUGAUGCAGCGACGCCGCGUGAGCGAAGAAGGCCUUCGGGUUGUAAAGCUCUGUCUGGAGGGACGAAGGAAGUGACGGUACCUCCGGAGGAAGCCACGGCUAACUACGUGCCAGCAGCCGCGGUAAUAUCACGUGUACG
rnacentral:rRNA from 1 species